CUUGACACUGAACAUUGAGCCUUGAUGUGUAGGAUAGGUGGGAGGCUUUGAAGUGUGGACGCCAGUCUGCAUGGAGCCGACCUUGAAAUACCACCCUUUAAUGUUUGAUGUUCUAACGUUGACCCGUGAUCCGGGUUGCGGACAGUGUCUGGUGGGUAGUUUGACUGGGGCGGUCUCCUCCUAAAGAGUAACGGAGGAGCACGAAGGUUGGCUAAUCCUGGUCGGACAUCAGGAGGUUAGUGCAAUGGCAUAAGCCAGCUUGACU
rnacentral:rRNA from 1 species